rnacentral:rRNA from 1 species
AGUGAACGCUGGCGGUGUGCUUAACACAUGCAAGUCGAACGAGAACGGUACUAGCUUGCUAGUAUGUCAGCUAAGUGGCGGACGGGUGAGUAAUGUAUAGUUAAUCUGCCCUUUAGAGGGGGAUAACAGUUGGAAACGACUGCUAAUACCCCAUACUCCUUUCUACUUAAUGUAGAUUGGGAAAUGUUUUUUCGCUAAAGGAUGAGACUAUAUGGUAUCAGGUAGUUGGUGGGGUAAGAGCCCACCAAGCCUAUGACGCCUAGCUGGUCUGAGAGGAUGAUCAGCCACACUGGAACUGAGACACGGUCCAG